rnacentral:lncRNA from 1 species
UGGGGUGUCUCGGAAAUCCAGGAGCAAUGCAUCGCCCGUGUGCAGGCAGCGUGUUUCAGCUGGGGAGCACAGGCCUGGGGCCCGGGCGCCGGCUGGCUAUUAUUAGCAGCAUUUGUAAUCCUCAGCGACUGUAUCCAGGCUGCCGGGCAGUGCGCAGACAGCCCUCGCCUUGGAAAGCAUCGCCACUGUCUCACUGGACGGCCUUGGGCAAGUCCCAGGGGGUCGGUUGCGCACUCCCCUCUGUACCAUGAUGCUCUGCAACGCCCCGGGGUGAGCCUGGAGCCCCUCCUGGGGCUGGGAUGUGGGUCUGCCUCCCUGUGCUCCUCCUCACCUCCCCUUGUUGUUUCUAAGCCUCGGAACUCUCCCCUUCCUGGCACCCCUUGGCCAUGGGUACAGCUCUUGAGCAGUCCCCUCCCUCACCCCAGUGUACUGGGAGCCACAUCUGUCCCUCUGCCACGUGGUUUAUUGGUGCCCUUGAGUAGCAGGAUCUCUGUCAAGCUGGAGAGCCCCUGGGCUGUCGUUAGCCAGCUGGGUCCUGGCUGGGCUAGCUCAGUACCAAAGCUGUCUGCCCAGCUGGAGCUGCUGGGGGGCCUGGGGCGCACCCAGCACUCUCUGAUGAAGUGCAGCUCCCCGUCAGGACAGAUGGCCGUAUGCAGGGCUGCCAGAGCUCACGGGUUCAUCUGCUGUCUCACUAGCUUGAGUCUUCUCAGGAAUGUUUCUCCUCCCCUCUGGCUGCUCUUCAGUCCCGGUUUCUUUGAACAGGCACUGCUGCAAUGCUUGUCGCCUUCAGAGAUGGGCUCAGCACCUUUGUUCCCACUCAGGCAGAGGUGUGGUAACAGGGUUUUGUAUGCAUGGAAAGAAGCCUUAACUCAAGGCACAGGGAGUCUUGUGUCCUCCAGAAGCCUGGCUGGGCCCUGCGGGACUGGGGCCUCUGUGGCGCCAUCCUUACAGCAGAGCAAGGGGGACACUGGGGCUGAGCAGGGUCCUGGCCAGUUUUUCCUUCUGUGA